AAAAGAAAAAGGAAAAGUAAUAGACAAACCAAAAUAAAAACACUCAAAAGCGUGAAACCAUAAUCAAUAUUCGCAAAACCCAAAAUUGCUUAAACCCUUAUUCUCUAUUAGUUCUCCACCGCGGCCGAUCCGUGUUGCGAUACAGUGUAAGCACGACGAAGGUUCAUCGAACUCUCCGAUUAUGAGCGUCGUUUAUCUCAGAUUAAAGUUAUUUUCGGUAAAAUCCCAAAAUCGUUAAAUCAGAACAAAAUCAAGCCGGAGAAAAAUUGGAGCUAAAUUACGCCGGAUAGAAAUCAGAGCAUGUUGAAUUUACACCGGAGUGAAUUACGAUGAAUCACCACAUAAUUUUCGUUUCCACUUUGUUCUCUUCUUCUUCGGUUCUUUGGAACUGAAUGACGCUGAAGAUUUCAUCAUUGUUUCUACUUCUCGAUAUUCCUACAUAAUUGCCAAACAUGCAAGUUUUUCGUAAGAUGUCACGAUCACUACAAAGAUUUCCUCAAGAUAUAAUCAUUGUAGUUGCCUCACAGUGCUGCAUUGUCUGCUCUAGAAUUUUUUGAUAGCGUUUGUGUGCUACAGGAUUAUUUUAUAAGCUAUGAAGUUCUGGACAAACUUAUAAGCUAUGAGGUUUGGCACAUCUCUCACUCUCUUCAUUCUCAAACAUAGAAAAUCCACACAAAGGUUCAAGUUAUUGAUAUCCAUCUAGUCUAAGAGUGUAUAGGUUGAUACAUAGACAUAUACUUGCAACUGUUUGUUUUGGAUAAAUAUGAUACUUUCAGUUUGGUAUCAAGUUUCGAAGCAUAAAUUCGGUGCUUGUAAGAGAUUUGAGUAAAAACAAUCUCGGUGGCAGUAUAUCGUACUCAUUUCCACAAACUUUGCAGCACUGAAUGGUGAUGAAAUCAUGUGAAAGAAAUAUAAUUAAUUUUGUGGUUUGUUGAAGAUAUAUUUGUGGAAUUAACUGUGAUGCGUCUGAAGAAGCUGCUUUGAUGUUCUGAGCAAUUAAAUGACAAUACUAGCAGUUAGAAAGUAUAAGGCUACACAAGAUCAUUAUGUUCAAAGCUACAAUAUCUUGAAGGGUAUAAUUUAUUAUUGACAUUUAGGCUCUAACUUAUUAUCUUCAAGGGUAUAACUUUUCUUCAGCUUUCAUGUUUGUUGUAGGACAUAUCAAUACUGUCGAGAACUAAGUUGCUACCCCUGAAUAAAGUUUCCAAUAAAACAGGGAGAGAGGAUAGAGAAAGUUCACUAAAUCACUUAAAAUUGGAAGAUAGUAGUGAAAGAAGGAACCAAUUCUUGUGGAUCUUGUCAGAGCCAAGGGAAUGAUAUGGAUCUAUUAGUAAUUUGUCUGUAAUUCUAUUAUGAUGUAGGCUUGAUUGUGUCUAUAUCUAUUAGUAGAUUAUUUUGAUAUUUCAUUCUUUGUUUAGUAUAUUUCAAUGUUCUUUAAUUGCUAGUUACAUUCAUGAUUUAUUUACACUUUUUUGUAUAGUUUGUUAUAAUUUU